AUUCUCUGCAAUUCUUGCCUCAAGAACUAUUCCAGACUACAUUUAAAAUGUGUAUUUUCAGAUGAAAUGUAUUUAGAAAUGGGUAUUUGAAUACAAAUAUAUUUUCAAAGCACGUUUUUAAAUGUAAAUUGUCCUGCUUUUUAAAAAUGCAGAUUAAUGUGGCAGAUUGGGAGUAUGGUUAUCAAAUGCAAAAUAAGGAAGAUAAUAAGAACUCCUCAAUUCAAAUCAUUAUGUAAGUCUUAAUAUUAUUAUUUCCUUCCGGUCUGUCCAGAAUCUUAUUAUGAGGAUGCUGCAACCUUGGCUAGGUCCUAGAACAUUGUAGAAGAGUUAUUGGGAUCGCCAUUUCCCAGGCCUCUUCAAUCCAAUAGAAUUUCAUCCAGUUCAUUACUGUACCCAAGAAUUAAUUCAUCAUCUCUAUUGCCUCAGAUGAUUUAGAUGAAAAAGAAAAGAAGGAUAAAUGUCUGUCAGCUCAAUUCAGGAAUUUGAAAUUUGUGUUUAAUUAACAUGCAUAGAGGGGAAUCCUGCAACCCCAUCUCUUUAUGAUGCCAUCACUCUUCUAUGUGUGUAGAGCAAUGUGUCUAAAGAGGAAAGCUCCUACUAUGUGUAAGGACAUUCCAUGAUAGUUGGAAUCUGAUAUCCCCUGCCUUGAGAACUAAUUUAUGUAAGGAUUCACCAUGUGCAGAAGAGGCUCUCCUUUUUAGAUGCAUCACUCUCCAUGGAAGAGUAACAACAUUGGCAACAGAGGAUUACAAUUUAUGUAAGGAUUCACCAUGUGCAGAAAGAGGCUCUCCUCUUUAGAUGCAUCACUCUCCAUGCAUGGAAGAGUAAGAACAUUGGCAACAGAGGAUUAGGGCUCAGCACUCCCCUAUAUGUCUAUGAGAAUUCUGAACACCUGCAUAGGUCUCCCCUUGCUUUACAAAAAACAGUGAUCGUCAUACUGGCAGAAAACAAAUACCUGUGCAAGCUUUUGAAAAUACCACCUGUUCAUCAGGUACAAUCUAAAAGGCAAACACCAGUCUGGAUCCAUUCCCUCAAGAGCUGUGAAGCCUUGGAAGGCAGAAGUAAUACAAGGGGUAUUUAACUCAGUAGUCCCCACAACCCUGCAACCUUAUCGCUCAGCUAUGGAUUCCUUUGUUUCAUUCCUGGGGCAGGCAGGCUGUCCCACAUCACUGCUGGCUUCACAGAUAGCUAUUCUUCAGUACCUAUCAUUUCUUUGCGUGGAGGGACGGGCUGUGAGGACAUUGGACAUGCAUAAAGCAGCAAUC
rnacentral:lncRNA from 1 species